GGAGAGUAGAGCUCAGUGGUAGAGUGUGUGCUUAGUAUGCAUGAGGUCCUGGGCUCAAUUCCCAGUACCUCUA
rnacentral:tRNA from 1 species